rnacentral:miRNA from 1 species
GUGGUUAGCGCGCCUGCCUCCAACCCGGAAGUAAUGGGUUCAAGGCUCGUCGCUGCUAC